ensembl:snRNA U1 U1 spliceosomal RNA
AUACUUACCUGGCAGGGGAGGUACCAUGAUCAAGAAGGUGGUUCUCCCAGGGAGAGGCUUAGUCAUUGCACUGCAGGUGUGUUGACCUCUGCGAUUUCUGCAAAUGUGGGAAACUUGAUGGCAUAACUUCUGGUAGUGGGGGACUGCAUUCAAGUUCUUUUAUU